GGGGAUGUAGCUCAGUGGUAGAGCGUGUGCUUUGCAUGUAUAAGGUCGAGGGUUCAAACCCCUCCAUCUCCA